UUGAAAUCAUUUUAAUUUAGGGAUGCAGUACAGUUCAUCAUCUUCCAUUAGUAUGAAUUUUGCAUGCUACUAGCAUAUGCUCUGAAAGAUGGACAACAAAGGCAACACGGCUUUGCAUUUUGCUGUAGACAUAAAUUUUAAUGAUUAUAAAGAGAAUGGGAGGCGAAUUAGAAAUCUGAGAGAUUUAGCCAGGUUAUUCUCUUUCCACUCCCUCUUUUUUCUUGCUGGAAUUGAUGAAAAAGAUGGACAACAAUUAAUAGUUGUAGAGAG